GUGAGGAAUUUUCCGCAAUGGGCGAAAGCCUGACGGAGCAAUGCCGCGUGAAGGAUGAAGGCCUAUGGGUUGUAAACUUCUUUUCUCAGAAAAGAAUUAUGACGGUAUCUGAGGAAUAAGCAUAGGCUAACUCUGUGCCAGCAGCCGCGGUAAGACAGAGGAUGCAAGCGUUAUCCGGAAUGAUUGGGCGUAAAGCGUCUGUAGGUUGUUUAAAAAGUAUUCUGUCAAAGAUUAGGGCUUAACCCUAGAUAGGCAGAAUAAACUUUUAAGCUAGAGUUUGGUAGAGGCAGAGGGAAUUCCCGGUGGAGCGGUGAAAUGCGUAGAUAUCGGGAGGAACACCAAAGGCGAAGGCACUCUGCUGGGCCAAUACUAACACUGAGAGACGAAAGCGAGGGGAGCAAAUGGGAUUAGAUACCCGUGUAGUCC
rnacentral:rRNA from 1 species